AGCGGUAGCAUGGACUGUAGCAAUACAGUCUGAUGACAAGCGGCGGACGGGUGAGGAACACGUAGGAACCUACCCUCAAGCGGGGGACAACCAAGGGAAACUUUGGCUAAUACCGCAUAAUCUCGAGAGAGAAAAGCUGCCCGCAAGGGUGGCACUUGAGGAGGGGCCUGCGUCCGAUUAGCUAGUUGGCAGGGUAAAAGCCUACCAAGGCGAUGAUCGGUAACUGGUCUGAGAGGACGACCAGUCACACUGGGACUGAGACACGGCCCAGACUCCUACGGGAGGCAGCAGUGGGGAAUAUUGGACAAUGGGGGCAACCCUGAUCCAGCGAUGCCGCGUGAGUGAAGAAGGCCUUCGGGUCGUAAAGCUCUUUAGGUUGGGAAGAAGGACAUAAGGUUAAUACCCUUGUGUUUUGACGGUACCGACAGAAUAAGCACCGGCAAACUCUGUGCCAGCAGCCGCGGUAAUACAGAGGGUGCGAGCGUUAAUCGGAAUUACUGGGUGUAAAGGGCGCGUAGGCGGCAAGAUGUGUGUGAUGUGAAAGCCCCGGGCUCAACCUGGGAAGUGCAUUGCAAACUGUCUGGCUAGAGUAUAUGAGAGGGUGGCGGAAUUUCCGGUGUAGCGGUGAAAUGCGUAGAGAUCGGAAGGAACGUCAAUGGCGAAGGCAGCCACCUGGCAUAAUACUGACGCUGAGGCGCGAAAGCGUGGGGAGCGAACAGGAUUAGAUACCCUGGUAGUCCACGCUGUAAACGAUGA
rnacentral:rRNA from 1 species